rnacentral:rRNA from 1 species
ACACGACUACAUUAGAUACCCCUGUAGUCCUAGGCGUAAAUGAUGCGAGUUAAUGUGGGGGCAUCUACGAGAUGGCCCUGUGCUGUAGGGUAGCCGUUAAACUCGCUGCCUGGGGAGUACGGUCGCAAGGCUGAAACUUAAAGGAAUUGGCGGGGGAGCACCACAAGAGGUGGAGGCUGCGGUUCAAUUGGACUCAACGACCGGAAACUCAGUCGGGAGCGACAGCAGUAUGAUUGCCGGGUUGAUGACCUUGCUUGACAAGCUG